rnacentral:lncRNA from 1 species
GGUUGUUGAAGCAAGUCAAGAGGAAGAACACAUAAGGGAUUUUAUGGAAGAGAAGAAGAGGGAAGAAGAAAAACUUGUACAUCAUUCUCUCUGUCUUCUUUUCUCGGUUCUUGUUUCCUUUCAAUUUAUCCUUUCAUUUCAAAAGAGAAUCCUUCAAACAUCUUCAUCAGUUUUCUGAUUGUCUUCUCACAAAUUUCCAAUAAUUUCAGUUGUGUGGCAGGUAUAAUUACAUAUAUAAGUACUGUAUGUGGCACAUCAUGUUCUUCACUCGAUUCAACGUAAAGUCUCAUACAUGCAUGUUCAAUAUCAUGACAAUAUUUUUUCUUAAAUGGUGUUUCUAGACUAACUUGCACGGAACUCAACUAUUUCAUCGGGUACUUGAUAUUUACCCUCUCCCACUAGCAUAUUUACCGAGUAACUCUGCCCACCAAAUUUUGUGCAGAUGGAUAAAAAUCACCUAACGAUUCUUCUUUCUAUAUUUGUUAUUUGUGGUUUCUAGGAUAACUCCAAUCCAUAACUUUUACCCACUUCAUUAACCAUUAGACAUUCGUCUUUGUGUGCCAAUAAUAUGACUAAUUAAUAGUAGGUAUUUGUUGUUUUCUUCAGAUUAAAACUGCCACCCUGCUGAACAACUGAGGAGGAAAGUAUUAAUAAUUGAUACAUGCCGGAAAGCUAAUAAAUUCAUGGCACCAAGCAAGCUU